rnacentral:rRNA from 1 species
GGUGCGUAACGCGUAUGCAAUCUGCCUUUCACAGAGGGAUAGCCCAGAGAAAUUUGGAUUAAUACCUCAUAGCAUAAUCAAGCCGCAUGGUUUGAUUAUUAAAGUCACAACGGUGAAAGAUGAGCAUGCGUCCCAUUAGCUAGUUGGUAAGGUAACGGCUUACCAAGGCGACGAUGGGUAGGGGUCCUGAGAGGGAGAUCCCCCACACUGGUACUGAGACACGGACCAGACUCCUACGGGAGGCAGCAGUGAGGAAUAUUGGUCAAUGGACGCAAGUCUGAACCAGCCAUGCCGCGUGCAGGAUGACGGUCCUAUGGAUUGUAAACUGCUUUUGCACAGGAAGAAACACUCCGACGUGUCGGAGCUUGACGGUACUGUGAGAAUAAGGAUCGGCUAACUCCGUGCCAGCAGCCGCGGUAAUACGGAGGAUCCAAGCGUUAUCCGGAAUCAUUGGGUUUAAAGGGUCCGUAGGCGGUCUUGUAAGUCAGUGGUGAAAGCCCAUCGCUCAACGGUGGAACGGCCAUUGAUACUGCAGGACUUGAAUUAUUGGGAAGUAACUAGAAUAUGUAGUGUAGCGGUGAAAUGCUUAGAGAUUACAUGGAAUACCAAUUGCGAAGGCAGGUUACUACCAAUUUAUUGACGCUGAUGGACGAAAGCGUGGGUAGCGAACAGGAUUAGAUACCCUGGUAGUCCACGCCGUAAACGAUGGAUACUAGCUGUUGGGAGCAAUCUCAGUGGCUAAGCGAAAGUGAUAAGUAUCCCACCUGGGG